GACUGAGGUGCAUGGAAUUCUGAAAUUUCCAAACUGAUAGCCACACACUAAAGUAGAUGAAAUCUCAGCUGUAUUUAAUAUUUAGUCCAGAGGUAAGGAAACUAGGGCCUCCAGGCUAUUUCUUAUACAGCCUGGAAUGAGAAUAAC